rnacentral:tRNA from 1 species
AUUUACAUAGUUUAAAAAAAACAUUACACUUUCAUUGUAAAAUUAGAAUCUACCUUGUAAAUA